rnacentral:lncRNA from 1 species
UGUGCUUUUUGUGUUUAUAGGGAUGCUUCCUUUGGAAAUUGCACUUACAAUCUCACCAUCCUCGACUGUUUGCAAGGAAUCAGAAAGGGAUUACAACAUGGAUUUUUUGACUUUGAGACAUUUGAUGUGGAUGAAUAUGAACAUUAUGAGCGAGUUGAAAAUGGUGACUUCAACUGGAUUGUUCCAGGAAAAUUUUUAGCAUUUAGUGGACCACAUCCAAAAAGCAAAGUUGAAAAUGGUAGGUUUUUC